rnacentral:rRNA from 1 species
CCUACGGGUGGCUGCAGUGGGGAAUUUUGGACAAUGGGCGAAAGCCUGAUCCAGCAAUGCCGCGUGUGUGAAGAAGGCCUUCGGGUUGUAAAGCACUUUUGUCCGGAAAGAAAUCCGUCUGGCUAAUACCCGGACGGGAUGACGGUACCGGAAGAAUAAGCACCGGCUAACUACGUGCCAGCAGCCGCGGUAAUACGUAGGGUGCGAGCGUUGAUCGGAAUUAGCGGGCGUAAAGCUGGAGGAGAGAGCUGAAAUCCCCGGGCUCAACCUGGGAACUGCAUUUGUGACUGCAAGGCUAGAGUGCGUCAGAGGGAGGUGGAAUUCCGCGUGUAGCAGUGAAAUGCGUAGAGAUGCGGAGGAACACCGAUGGCGAAGGCAGCCUCCUGGGAUGACACUGACGCUCAUGCACGAAAGCGUGGGGAGCAAACAGGAUUAGAUACCCGGGUAGUC